CGACGGCAGACAAGCAACUUAUUUUCCAAGGAAAGAAAUUUCUUUGCUGAAUCACAUCGAACUUUCAUCACUCUUUUACACUUCCAAACGGAAUCCUAAAUUUCAGGAAAGAUUUACCAUUACCCAAUUCAAUUACAAAAUCCAAAUGGAUUUCGAUUUCCAGAAGAAUCGGGUUCAAAUUCUCAUCUUCAUCAUCGGAAUAGUUGGUCUCAGUAUCACUGGUAUGUUCGCGGGUGUCCAUCAGUAUGCAUCUUAAUUUCAUUCGUGUUCUUAAUCAUUCGGCUUAUGAUCCUUUAUUUAGAAAUUAUGGGAUCCCAUUUAAAGUUAUGAUUUCGAGGGGAAUUGCUGAAGUUAGGGAGUCUUUGUACACGAAAAGUUUGAAUUAUUUGGUCAACUAGGGGCUUAGUUCUUGGAUUUUGAUAGAUUCUUAAUGUCCCUUCAUUUGUUAAAUCGUUAUUAUGCUGUUCAUGACUGGAAAAAUCAAUAAUUAACUCAGGAUACUUUGUAUUGGGGAAGAGGGAGUGUGAUUGUGUUGGGGGAUGUAAUUGGAUUUCGGUUUUGUAAGAUUUUUUUCUUCUGGGUAGGUAUGAUUUGUAAUCUUAUGCAUGGUAUAAGGACUUAUGUCUGAUCUGAGGAUUUGGAUGACAAACGAACAAUCUAAAUUUUGCAGAGAUUAACCUAUUAACUAUCUUUUUCUUGCUUGGAUGGGUACUCGGUCGGAUUAUGUGGAAUAACUGGGUAGUGGAAAAACAAAACUAAAAGAAGGUACAUCAAAUUUACUGACUUCCAUUGUUAAAAAAUGUUGAGAAAUUUUCUUUGAAUUUUAGUCCAUUUCUGUUGUCAUAUUAUGAAUUUUUUGUUUGCUCAUAGGGAAACUACAUGCUUAAUUCUGAAAAUUUAGAAACAAUAUUGCUAAUCUAAAACCUCAUCCAAGCCUCAUCCAAGCUUGACACUAUCUAGCUUGCUUGAAUUUUGAUGAGUAUCUUGUAGUACCAGUGGAUUUUAGGAGAAGAGAAAUUAGGAUCUGACAGUUUAUUGGCAUUGCUCUGCUGCAGAUAUCUGCGUAAUGCACACAUCCUGAUUGUAUAAUGCACACAAAUUCAUUCCACUGUGCACAUGUAAUUGUUGCUAUCUUUAUAGCCACAGAACUAGUCCAUUUCUUUCAUUAUCUGUUCAAUAACUGAGCCUGAAAAGGCUGCGUCCUGAUUUUGUUUUGCAUAGCUGAUUGCUUAUAUGCUCACCUAUUGUUUCUGGUAGCUGAUAAAUGUAGGCAACUGGUUGGUGAAGAUUCUUCAUCCCAGAGUGGAAAGUUUACCAUCUUUAACUGCUUUGACAUGAGCACUGGGACCCUGGCAUGCACAGUGAAAGAAGGUGUGAAGCUGUAUUUUUACAACAUCAGGUCUGCUCAUGUUGAGAAGGCUAGGAAUCUUGCAAUAGAGCGUGCAUUACUUGAUGCAUUGGGACAGGGAAUAUCUGCAAAAGAUGCAGCAAAACAAGCACAGAAAGAAGGGGCAAAGGCUGCAAAGCUGGCAACCCGACAAGCAAAACGCAUUAUAGGUCCCAUUAUUUCUUCUGGCUGGGACUUUUUUGAAGCUCUUUAUUAUGGCGGUACCAUAACAGAAGGAUUCCUAAGGGGCAGUGGAACAUUGUUUGGUGCCUAUGCUGGAGGGUUUGUCGGUGAAGCUAGCCUUGGGCACUUCCACUUUGGCUAUCUUGUAGGAAGUCAUCUGGUUAGUUAGGUUGAAGUGGGAUAGGACUGAUGAUAUAUGAUGUGGUCAAUGGAGUGCAUUUCUUGCUUCAAAUUUACCAAGAGGUUAGUGAAAGUCGUGAGAAUUAUGAUAAUUUUGAAGUUUCUGAGGACUUCAAUGUCUAUGAAACCCUGCAUACACAAGCUCUGAGGUUUCUGAGGACUCCAGUGUCUAUGAAACUUCUGCAUACACAAACUCUAAGGUUUCUGAAGACUCCAAUUUCUAUGAAUCUCGUCCCUCUGAAAGCUCCGAAUCAUACGAAAAUUCUGAAUUUGGGUGAAUAAAUUUGAUUCUUUAGUGGUUUCAUCCCCUAUUGUUCUGAUUUUAGCCAAAAUAGAUGCAAUAUAAGCUACAGUUUAGUGACUCAGUAGAGAAUUGUGCAUAAAUACUUGGCAGUGUUGUUAUAAAUUGGCUAUAAAUUCAGUUUGUCUGAGACGUAAUCUUGGCGACUAUUAUCAUUUAUCUUUUAUCGUCCUGAAGUUUGGCAUUCGUCUAUUUGAUUUCUUUAUGGGGACAAGAAAAUUUUAUUCAAUAGCAGAGUUCUAUCAGCCUAUUAUGGUCGUGUAACUAGUUUUUAAAGUUUUCAUGUUCUUUGUAACCAUCGUUCGGAGAGUAGUUGGUAGUUUCUUGAGAUAAUUUUGAUAUGCCUCUCUUUUGUACUGUGGCUGUGUUGGUGCUACUGACCUAUACUGGUUGCACGUGGAGCUGCUUUUUAUUGCUUGUUUUGCUUCUGAUUGAGUUUGGGUGGUAUAAUGUAUAUGCGCUGAAAUGGAAUUGGUGGAUAACAUGUAUACCGCAUGGGGCAGUGGUUAUAUUGACAGUGGAGAUAUUGGAUUUCUGUUCUGCAAUUUUCUAGCUUGCAACUUUCUGAGAUAAUAGAUAGAAGUACUGUGUUUAUUGGGCAUUAAAGACUCUUACUGUGCUGGCUUAGGUACUUGGCUGAGUAUUUGAAUUCUUGGUGAUUCAGGUGUAGGGAGCUUUUGGCUUUUGGUUUUGAUCCUUUUUGUGGCUUUUGUUAAAAGCAGUUGUUACUUUUGUUUAGGCUUGGUUUAAUGUUCUGUACUUGCGCAUUUUUCUUGCUCUUGGUGUUUGUAUUUUCUUCUGUCAGGUUUUUCAGUUGAGCUGCUUUUAACAGCACUCUUUUUGAUUCAAAGCUCAAGCUUUGGACCGUUUGUUAGGUUCAUGGACUUGUGGUAGAGAGGGCAUCUGUCUGGUACUUGAAUGAAGGGCCUAGGAUUAGGAUAACCUAUAGAGUUGUUUGGAAUACUUCAUGAUUCCAUACUCUUAUUGAUUUGGGCUGCGACUCCCAUCUUUUGCUUGCAAAUUUUGCAUAUUGCAUGGACUAGAGUAGGUAAGCCUACCAUCGCAAUCAAAUCUUGAGUGUGGUGCAUGGUGUCUUGUGGCUGCCACGCACCCUUUGCUCAAAUGCUCACACGUAACUUGACUUCGUUCUCAGCCAACCAAUUACAUGCCUUUGCCUUUGCCCCACUACAACACUAGUUUAAUUAUGUGCUCUUGUUCUUCUUGCUUUAUUUAAACAAUAAAUCAAAGCAUUUCAUUUCCUAUAUCAUAUCAAUAUCAUUUCAUGAGCAACGCCUCUUAACUAUUUCAUAAUAAUUUAAUUGUCAAAGAAGAAAAUUACAUGGUUGGAGUUUUGGC
rnacentral:misc_RNA from 1 species